rnacentral:rRNA from 1 species
CCCGCGGCCUAUCAGCUUGUUGGUGGGGUGAUGGCCUACCAAGGCGACGACGGGUAGCCGGCCUGAGAGGGCGACCGGCCACACUGGGACUGAGACACGGCCCAGACUCCUACGGGAGGCAGCAGUGGGGAAUAUUGCACAAUGGGCGAAAGCCUGAUGCAGCGACGCCGCGUGAGGGAUGACGGCCUUCGGGUUGUAAACCUCUUUCAGCAGGGAAGAAGCGAGAGUGACGGUACCUGCAGAAGAAGCGCCGGCUAACUACGUGCCAGCAGCCGCGGUAAUACGUAGGGCGCAAGCGUUGUCCGGAAUUAUUGGGCGUAAAGAGCUCGUAGGCGGCUUGUCACGUCGGGUGUGAAAGCCCGGGGCUUAACCCCGGGUCUGCAUUCGAUACGGGCAGGCUAGAGUGUGGUAGGGGAGAUCGGAAUUCCUGGUGUAGCGGUGAAAUGCGCAGAUAUCAGGAGGAACACCGGUGGCGAAGGCGGAUCUCUGGGCCAUUACUGACGCUGAGGAGCGAAAGCGUGGGGAGCGAACAGGAUUAGAUACCCUGGUAGUCCACGCCGUAAACGUUGGGAACUAGGUGUUGGCGACAUUCCACGUCGUCGGUGCCGCAGCUAACGCA